rnacentral:miRNA from 1 species
AUGUACCUCGUCGACUGGAAGGGGUUUCUUCCGGCCGACGAGGUACAUGUACCUCGCUGGCUGGAAGGAUUUCCUUCCAGUCGACGAGGUACAU